rnacentral:lncRNA from 10 species
GGGUCUGGCAAUAAUUGUAGCUAAUUGGAGACUUAUUUCUUUAAGCCCUAGAGAGGCUCCUCUGAGGGCUGAAGUCAGUCUGCCAAUGCUGAAAUAUUUACUGGGUGCCUAGAAUGUAUGGUGUACAUACGUUACACUAUGUAGUACAUUAUAACACUAACUACUGUGCUUCUUAGUGGUCAGAACCAAAGUAUAGGCUGGGCUCAGUGGCUCACACCUAUAAUCCCAGCAUUUUGAGAGGCUGAGGGGGCGGAUCACUUGAGCUCAGGAGUUUGAGACCAGCCUGGCCAAUAUGUCGAAACCCAGUCUCUACUAAAAAUAAAAGAUUGGCCAGGCGUGGUGGCGGGCGCCUAUAGUCCCAGCUACUCGGGAGGCUGAGGCAGGAGAAUUGCAUGAACAUGGGUGGCAGAGGUUGCAGUGAGCCAAGAUCGUGCCAUUGCACUCCAGCCUGGGCGACAGAGGGAGAUUGUCUCAAACAACAAACAAAAACCAAAGUAUAAAACAUGGCCCACUUUAUAUGCAAGAACUUUGUAAUAUUUGGGAAGACACAAAAAUAACAUAAUUGGCGUGAGCCACAGCGCCUGCCCCAAGAAAGCUUUUAUGGGUACAGGGGGCUUGAGAUUGGCUCAGGUUUGUCUAGGCAAGAGCGGGAAACAGGGCUUUCCAAAUGAAGGGAAGUUGUAGAUCCCAGAGGAGUCUGGCCUGGCCUCUGUAGAGGUUUGGACCUGGGACUUGCAGAAACCAGAUUGUCUGGGAAAGUUAGGCCCAAAUCAUGGUUACAUUUGAAAAUCAGGCAGUGCAGUUGGGUCUGCUGUGAGACACCAAAGGGGUUUAUUAGUGGUUUCUGAGCAAGCAAGCAACAUGAUAAAAAUAGCAUUUGAGGAAGGCUAAACAGGAUUAAAAAGAGCA